rnacentral:rRNA from 1 species
GUGGGGAAUAUUGGACAAUGGGCGAAAGCCUGAUCCAGCCAUGCCGCGUGUGUGAAGAAGGUCUUCGGAUUGUAAAGCACUUUAAGUUGGGAGGAAGGGUAGUAACCUAAUACGUUGCUACUUUGACGUUACCGACAGAAUAAGCACCGGCUAACUUCGUGCCAGCAGCCGCGGUAAUACGUAGGGUGCAAGCGUUAAUCGGAAUUACUGGGCGUAAAGCGCGCGUAGGUGGUUUUGUAAGUUGGAGGUGAAAUCCCCGGGCUCAACCUGGGAACUGCCUCCAAAACUGCAUGACUAGAGUACGGUAGAGGGGAGUGGAAUUUCCUGUGUAGCGGUGAAAUGCGUAGAUAUAGGAAGGAACACCAGUGGCGAAGGCGACUACCUGGACUGAUACUGACACUGAGGUGCGAAAGCGUGGGGAGCAAACAGGAUUAGAUACCCCUGUAGUCC